rnacentral:tmRNA from 1 species
GGGGGCGACAUGGCUUCGACGCAGGUCGCGAAACCUCAGGUGCAUGCCGAGGACGUCACUCACCUCGUAAAACACGUGGCACAAAAGAUAGUUGCCAACGACGACAACUACGCCCUCGCGGCCUAAACAGCCGUGAGCCGCUCGCUCCCGCUCGCCUGUGGGCGGAGUUGAGCGGGCAUAUCACACAGGCUAGCCCCACGGAUUGCCCGGCUCCGUGAGGCGAAACCUAACGGGCUCGCCGACUCCACUCCCUGUCCGUCGGGAGGGAGUUGGUUAAAAACAAAGACGGAUCUAAGCAUGUAGACCCUGAGGCGGAGGUCCUGCGGACGCGGGUUCGAUUCCCGCCGCCUCCACCA